AGGAUGAACGCUGGCGGCGUGCCUAAUACAUGCAAGUCGAACGAGGUGCUUUUGUAGCAAUACGAGAGCAUCCUAGUGGCGAACGGGUGAGUAACGCGUUGGUGACCUACCCCAAAGUGUGGAAUAACAGUCCGAAAGGAUUGCUAAUACCGCAUGUGGUUAUCGGGCUUAGAAACUGAUAACUAAAGGAGCAAUUCGCUUUGGGAGGGACCUGCGUCCCAUCAGCUAGUUGGUGAGGUAACGGCUCACCAAGGCUACGACGGGUAGGGGACCUGAGAGGGUGACCCCCCACAAUGGAACUGAAACACGGUCCAUACACCUACGGGUGGCAGCAGUAGGGAAUAUUGCACAAUGGGCGAAAGCCUGAUGCAGCAACGCCGCGUGUGCGAUGGAAGGCCUUCGGGGUCGUAAAGCACUUUUCUGAGAGAUGAGAAAGGACAGUAUCUCAGGAAUAAGUCUCGGACUAACUACGUGCCAGCAGCCGC
rnacentral:rRNA from 1 species